AUAUGGCAUGUUAUUUGAAGGACAUGCCCGUUAUUGCAAGGACUGGUUUUGUUUCAGAAAGGACAAUCUACAAAUACAAUUUCAUUUAAAUUCUUUAUUUGUAACUGUAACUUGACAAUUAACACAAAACUACUGAUUACAACUAACACAUCAUUUCAAGAAAUCAUUUUGGUUUAUUGUGUCACAAACAUAAUCCCAUAUCUUAAAGUUUGAAAAAUAAGGUUACAGAACUGACAACAUUGUUCCUGUUAGGACAACACAGCGAAUUAAAAUAAACACUCCAAAUUUUAAAUGAUAUUACAAACUGUCAUAGAACUCUUAACUUUAAACAACAACUUUGUCACUAAAAAUGAUAAAAAUCAACAACAUGGAGUUUAAAAACUCAACAAAUAAGCUUUGUUAUUGUAAGGAACAUAAUAACCAUUUAUUUUAGUAAUGGCUAAAUCAUUUGAACUGCUAAAACUAUUUUUUGCACUUCAAAAGUGCUGCUUGAAACAAAGCUCCAUUAACUGUGAAAUGGUGAGUAUUCGGCACGGAGAUUGGGUCUGGUAUGACAGUCAUAAUGUUUUGUUUGUCCCUAGUUGGUGCAUACACAAAAUUUCAGCUUCUGGAUUCUCAACAUCCUUGACCUAUUCUGGAUACGGCCUUCCAUUGAAAAUCACUAUAACAUAUCGAUUCAAACACUCAUGUAUGUCAGGCACAAAAUAUUCAUAGCUGUCGUCACUUUUCGUUUCAUUUUCUGUACAAGCGCUGUCUUUGUUUUCUCUUUUUUCACCAUUUUCAUCACUUUUAACAUCACUCUUUUUCCUCUGAUCACUGCUGUUUUUAUCAACAUCACCAUUCUUUUCUCUCUUAUCACCAAGAUCACUAUAAUAUGUAUUCUUUGAAUCAUUCUUACUGUCAAUUCUUUCACUUUUGUUCUUACAUUUUUCACCAUUAUUUUCGCCAUUAAUAUCAGUGUUUUUAUUGUUAUUUACAUUCUCUUUAAGAUUGUUUUCAUUGUUGUUCACAUCGUUUCUACAGUCGUGUGUUAAUGGAAGAAGAGGAACAAGAUGAUUUGGAGACCAAUUUGAUUCUGGAAUGUCAUCUCUUGUGUUUGUCCACAAAAUGUAAAUUACAUCAUACUUUAUGUCUGUCCUCGGUAAUAUCAAUCGAUUGAGAUCUUGCCGAACAUUGGGAUUUCCUUUCUCAGGAUACACGCUUCUAAUCGGGGCAUUAAGAACACUUGACAGGGCAAAAACCUGGAAAAUACCCAUGUAUGAUCUAUUUUUUGUCAAAGACAUUAUUUCUUUUCUAAAUAUGUCUUUAAUAAUAUCUUGCUCUAGGGCCAUUCCAGGAAUGAAAAAGUCUGAAUAUUGAGCACAGUGUUUGGCUUGGUCCUUUUGACUAGAACAUCCUCCAUUGAGGAACUCGUUACUCAGGUAUCAGGUAAAUACCCUUGUUUUCAUGCAAUUCCUUAAUAAUUCUUGUUAUUAUUUCUUCAGUACGUUCUCGGGUACCAAAGGCAAACACACUUCCACAUGAUGGUAAACAAUUACCAUCUGCAAUGACCUCAACAGGAUACAGUUCUGAACUAUCUAAAUCACUAGGCAUACCAAAAAAUGCAUCAAAAUCUAUUUCAAGUUUAUUUUCAUAAACACUUAUCUCAUCAGGUUUUACUCUACAUGUCAUUUCAGGUAACGCAGAUAAAGUAUCACCUACUUCUGUGAAGGUUUGACACAAGUUCAAACGCCUUAGUAAAUCUUCAUUAUCUAUUUUCUGAUCAGACUGCCCUUUGUCUGGGCUAAAUUUGGAACUACGUGCCUUGUUGUGACGAGUACAUUUUGUUUGAAUCUCCUUUGGUAUUGGUUGUUGAAUUUCAAUCCCUUUUGAUGCCGUUUUCCUUCUUUUCUGGCAUUCAGUAACUUUUGUAUCUGUUUACCGUUUCAAUCCUUUGGUUCGAUUAUAUGUACCUAUAUUAGUCUGUUUGACCUUUUCGUCUGUUAAUGACGUGCUUUGAUACUCAUGAUCUUUGUGUUCAAUUCCUAUUUCACAGUCACAGCUCAAGUUUCUAAAGGCUAUUUGUCCUUCUGAUAUAAUCUUUACUUGAUGAAGACUCAAUGUUCCGGGUACAGCUCUCAAAGGUGCUUUUAACAGGUCCUUUAUUUCCUAGAUGUCUGGUUCUGUCACUAAGUACAUGUUAACUUUUGACUCUUUAGUUAAAACCCCUAUGAAAGUCUUGGCUGAUGUGAUGUCACUGCCAUAUUUUAAUUUAUUGUCUGCCUGUCGUUUAGGUGCACCUCCAAUUGCAUUAUGGGAUACCCUUACCAUGCCCACUUUCAAAAAAUGACCAAAGUACAGUUUGAAAACCAAAAGACUUUGCCCUUAGUGUUUCUAAGUAAAAGUUUGCCUUUUGGCAGUACUGGGUGACAGGGCCAUCACUGAAUAUUUCUAUAUAUAUGACCUUUGGAUACUUCUUCCGUAUUUCAGCCAGAAUAGGAGCAAGAUGAGCCCAAACAGCUUCUGGUCCAUGUACGAGAGAGUCACUUUCUGUGCAGAAGCACUACCAAGUUGAGACUCUGAAGAUUGGAGACGAAGUGGAAUGUCUUCUAGUGAAGCGAUGUAGGUCUUUUAUGGCCCUUCAACUUGCGUCAUGCUCAUUAAAGAAGUAGCUUGAAGACUGGCGACUAUGGUACUGUCAGAUGGUCCAUUCGGUAUUUUUCCCAAACCAAUGUUCCUAAGUUCCAUGUAAUUGAAGUGACGCAUCUGAGCUAUAUUAUUUAUAGAAGGGUUUCGGGACCCAGGCAACGCCAGACACUGGAACGCGUCCAAGAGGUAACUCUGGGAUAGAGGGAAGCUGAAGAAAGCUCCCAACGUAUAUUCUGUGGCCUCCUACUCCAUCAAUUUAUCCUCUGGUGACAUCAGUUGCCAGUAAGCUGGGAGCCACAAACUCAAAGGGCCAGUGACAGGCAAUGCUACAGGUGUAGCAAGCGUCCAAUUACGUCUGUCUGGUGGAAAAAUGGGCAUCCCUCAAGAGCGAAGUAGGGCCAUGGCACUUUCCUUGAUUAAAAAGUGGGCAUCUGGAGAUACACGAGACAAUACUGAGCCAGGACUUUGGGGCAUCAGUAGUCUUCUUUGUGCCACAGGCGAGGAAUUCGGCAAGAUCUACAACACUGGAGACUUUUGUGCAGGACUUUUUACAAAUGACUAAAUGUAUAAACUGUUUAACAAAUUAAAUUGAGGUGCUUUAUUUUCUGAUGUUUGAUUUAUUUUUCCUUUCAGAUGAUUUAUAUUUGUGUGAUUCUAGGAUUAAAUAAAUAAUUCUGAAACAUUUAUGCAGCAUGCUGUUACAUUAUUGUUAACGUUAUAUUAUGUUGGUUAUCUGGUUUAUCAAGUGGAAAAAAUUAUUUAAAUAUAAAGCUUUAAAUAUUAAGACUUAUGAAGGUACUUAUUGUUAUUUAGGUAUUAACAUACUUCUCAGAAUAAUAAAAAUAUAGUAAAUGCUA